rnacentral:rRNA from 1 species
GACGAACGCUGGCGGCGUGCCUAAUACAUGCAAGUCGAGCGAACAGACGAGGAGCUUGCUCCUCUGACGUUAGCGGCGGACGGGUGAGUAACACGUGGAUAACCUACCUAUAAGACUGGGAUAACUUCGGGAAACCGGAGCUAAUACCGGAUAAUAUAUUGAACCGCAUGGUUCAAUAGUGAAAGACGGUUUUGCUGUCACUUAUAGAUGGAUCCGCGCCGCAUUAGCUAGUUGGUAAGGUAACGGCUUACCACGGCAACGAGGCGUAGCCGACCUGAGAGGGUGAUCGGCCACACUGGAACUGAGACACGGUCCAGACGCCUACGGGAGGCAGCAGUAGGGAAUCUUCCGCAAUGGGCGAAAGCUUGACGGAGCAACGCCGCGUGAGUGAUGAAGGUCUUCGGAUCGUAAAGCUCUGUUAUUAGGGAAGAACAAAUGUGUAAGUAGCUAUGCACGUCUUGACGGUACCGAAUCAGAAAGCCACGGCUAACUACGUG